rnacentral:rRNA from 1 species
AUAACGAUACCGGACUCAUCCGAGGCCCGGUAAUCGGAAUGAGUACACUUUAAAACCUUUAACGAGGAUCCAUUGGAGGGCAAGUCUUGUGCCAGCAGCCGCGGUAAUUCCAGCUCCAA